GUGCUGGCUUCGGCAGCACAUAUACUAAAAUUGAAACAAUAUAGAGAAGAUUACAAGGCCCCUGUGCAAGGAUGACAUGCAGGUUCAUGAAGUGUUCCAUAUUUAA
ensembl:snRNA U6 U6 spliceosomal RNA